rnacentral:rRNA from 1 species
UCGGGAAUUUUGGGCAAUGGGCGAAAGCCUGACCCAGCAACGCCGCGUGAAGGAUGAAGUAUUUCGGUAUGUAAACUUCGAAAGAAUAGGAAGAAUAAAUGACGGUACUAUUUAUAAGGUCCGGCUAACUACGUGCCAGCAGCCGCGGUAAUACGUAGGGACCAAGCGUUGUUCGGAUUUACUGGGCGUAAAGGGCGCGUAGGCGGCAAUUCAAGUCAUCUGUGAAAUCUCCGGGCUUAACUCGGAACGGUCAGAUGAUACUGCUUUGCUAGAGUGCAGAAGGGGCAAUCGGAAUUCUUGGUGUAGCGGUGAAAUGCGUAGAUAUCAAGAGGAACACCUGAGGUGAAGACGGGUUGCUGGGCUGACACUGACGCUGAGGCGCGAAAGCCAGGGGAGCAAACGGGGAUUAGAU